CCCCCUCAGCGACAGGGCCUUCUUCUGAGGCUUUGUCUGCUGUGCUCGUCAGAAACACAUGUACUGGAGGCCCUCAUUCAGGCUCAGAUGAAAGCCGUGGAGGGCAGCAAAAGAAUCCAAAGGUUCCCGGUGAAUGGCAGCAAACCCAAGGCCUUGGAGCGCGACGUCACAGAGAUGGACCCUGCACUCCGGUUAAUGCUGCAGGAGAAGGAGAGGGCCGUGAUGACGCUGAAGGAGACUGUGGAGGAGAAGGAGAGGGCUGUGAGGACGCUGCAGGAGACUGUGGAGGUAUACUCAAAAGGCAUGGCAUACACACGCACACACAAGCUCACUCACUCACUCACUCACUCACUCACUCACUCACUCACUCACUCACGCACACGCGCGGCUUACACACACAUCCGGCAUGGGCCCCACUACUUCCUGUCUGGGACCGUAAAUACACGCAAUCAAAAGUAGUGAAAGUGAAUGUAUGUGAUUUACUACUCACACAUGCUCCUCCUCAUCUCCACCUUCUCUGUCCUCUCAUUGGUAGAUCAUCCGCUCGCAACAGCUUCUUCUACUAAAAGUAAACUCUAAAGAUCUAAGCUCUAAACAUGCCAACAGAGAGUUUACAAGGCAUUUUCCAAUAGCGAGAAAUCCAUAAAAGUUUUGCGUUUCCUGGAUUAAGGAGAUUAUGUUUUAAUUUGAUUGGAUUUAUAAAUUAACCAUGUUCCUCAAGCCUUGUAAGAUCAAAGAGACACAUAGAAGGUGUUGUUCCUCCAUAACAUCCAAGGUGUGCAGCUCCCCCAGAGGGAGUUCUGUUGUACUACAUCUAUUUUAGAUUCACCAAUCUAAAUGGGGUGACUUUGGACAUGUGAACGCACUUAAUGCGUAAUGUACGACAAUAAUGAACACAAUCCUAGAUGAGCUAGAGAGAAGAGUAGAGAUAAGAGAGAGAAGGAGGAGAAAAGAGAGGGGGAUGAGAAGAGAGAGGAGAGAUGAGAGGAUGGAGAGGAGAAGAGAGGAGAGGAUGGAGAGAGGAGAGGAGAGCUGACAAGACAAAGUCACGGUACUCACACACAUGGGGAGAAUCUUUACAUGUAGUCACUGAGACCUUUGUGUAAGUGUGUAACACAUGUUCAGUUGUUGUAUAUUGGAGAUUAAUAUACUGGUUCAUCAACUACAAACUUUUACAUUUCUUCAAUGAUUUAAAACGUUCCAUCAAUCUCAAAAUCAUCAAAAUCAUCAGGGUUUUAGAAGUAAUUUUUUUUAUUUUUUGUAUUACACUUCUUUGAUUACAGAAACAGUAGUUAUACUUAUAUUUAUACUUGUUCAACCAGCCACAGGGGAGAAGCCAGCUUGGUGAUUGGCUCCCGCAAAAACGUACCGGAAUGUA